rnacentral:rRNA from 1 species
UACGUAGGGGGCAAGCGUUAUCCGGAAUCACUGGGCGUAAAGGGUGCGUAGGCGGCCAAUAAAGUCAGAGGUGAAAGGCUACGGCUCAACCGUAGUAAGCCUUUGAAACUUAUUGGCUUGAGUGCAGGAGAGGAGAGUGGAAUUCCUAGUGUAGCGGUGAAAUGCGUAGAUAUUAGGAGGAACACCAGUGGCGAAGGCGACUCUCUGGACUGUAACUGACGCUGAGGCACGAAAGCGUGGGGAGCGAACAGGAUUAGAUACCCUGGUAGUCCACGCCGUAAACGAUGAGUGCUAGGUGUUGGGGGUCAAACCUCAGUGCCGCAGCUAACGCAUUAAGCACUCCGCCUGGGGAGUACGCACGCAAGUGUGAA